rnacentral:snRNA from 1 species
GUGCUUGCUUUGGCAGCCCAUAUACUAAAAUUGGAAUGAUACAGAGAUUAGUAUAGGCCCUGGGCAAGGAUGACAAGCAAAUUUGUGAAGUAUUCCAUAUUUUC